rnacentral:rRNA from 1 species
UACGUAGGGGGGCAAGCGUUGUCCGGAAUCAUUGGGCGUAAAGCGCGUGUAGGCGGCCCGAUAAGUCCGCUGUGAAAGUCCAGGGCUCAACCCUGGAAUGCCGGUGGAUACUGUCGGGCUCGAGUCCGGAAGAGGCGAGUGGAAUUCCUGGUGUAGCGGUGAAAUGCGCAGAUAUCAGGAGGAACACCGGUGGCGAAGGCGGGUCUCUGGGCCGUAACUGACGCUGAGGAGCGAAAGCGUGGGGAGCGAACAGG